CAAACGACUCUCGGCAACGGAUAUCUCGGCUCACGCAUCGAUGAAGAACGUAGCAAAAUGCGAUACUUGGUGUGAAUUGCAGAAUCCCGUGAACCAUCGAGUUUUUGAACGCAAGUUGCGCCCGAGGCCAUUCGGCCGAGGGCACGUCUGCCUGGGCGUCACGC
rnacentral:rRNA from 1 species